UAUAUUUUAGUGUAUGAUGCACGAAGGAUUUUGAUUCUUUAAGAGAUAGUUUAAUUCUAUUAAAUAUAA
rnacentral:tRNA from 1 species